rnacentral:ncRNA from 1 species
ACAACGGCUCUUUUAAGAGCCACCAAUCGAUAUCUAAGAGAAUACU